rnacentral:rRNA from 1 species
AUGAAAGAGGAACUUCUUCAUCUUUAUGAAAAUAUACACCUUUUCAUGUUUCCUGGAAACCAUUUAUUUUCAUGUUCUGAGAUAUCGCUACAUUCAGAUAUUGAAGUUGAUCUUGUCUUUCCGGUGGCAGUCUAUACAAGUCCCAUCGAAGCACUUGGUAUUCUUGAAAAGAAAGCACAUGAUGUUGAUUUCGUCAUGGCAGCAGUGGACAUGGAAGAGUUGAAUGGCUUUCAGUUCCUGGAAGCUGCCAAAAAUAAGCAUAGAAACCUUCAAGUGAUCAGUAUGUUCACUAAUAAUUUGUCUCCAACUACAUGA